rnacentral:rRNA from 1 species
CCUACGGGUGGCAGCAGUCGAGAAUCAUUCACAAUGGGGGAAACCCUGAUGGUGCGACGCCGCGUGGGGGAAUGAAGGUCUUCGGAUUGUAAACCCCUGUCAUGUGGGAGCAAAUUAAAAAGAUAGUACCACAAGAGGAAGAGACGGCUAACUCUGUGCCAGCAGCCGCGGUAAUACAGAGGUCUCAAGCGUUGUUCGGAAUCACUGGGCGUAAGGCGUGCGUAGGCUGUUUCGUAAGUCGUGUGUGAAAGGCGCGGGCUCAACCCGCGGACGGCACAUGAUACUGGGAGACUAGAGUAAUGGAGGGGGAACCGGAAUUCGCGGUGUAGCAGUGAAAUGCGUAGAUAUCGAGAGGAACACUCGUGGCGAAGGCGGGUUCCUGGACAUUAACUGACGCUGAGGCACGAAGGCCAGGGGAGCGAAAGGGAUUAGAUACCCCAGUAGUC